rnacentral:rRNA from 1 species
GCGCAUCUAUCAUAGUUAUUGUGGGCGGAACGCCCACACAGCUUAGAUCAAGUAACUGCUGUGAAGAGCCAGACCAUUCACCCGGCAUGAGGCCCGCGGCCCCGACUCUUACGGUAAGCAGCAGUAAGGAAAUAUGGUCAAUGACCGCAAGUCGAACAGGCAUGCCCGCGUGGACGACGUAGCCCUCUGGCUGUAACCUCUUUAUUCUGGAAGAAACCCAUCUUUCUAAAGUGUGACGGUACCAGUUGAAUAAGCACCGGCUAACUCCGUGCCAGCAGCCGCGGUAAUACGGAGGGUGCAAGCGUAUCCCGGAUUCACUGGGUUUAAAGGGUGCGUAGACGGGUUGGUAAGUCAGUGGUGAAAUCUUCAAGCUUAACUUGGAAACUGCCGUUGAUACUAUCAAUCUUGAAUAUUGUGGAGGUAAGCGGAAUAUGUCAUGUAGCGGUGAAAUGCUUAGAUAUGACAUAGAACACCGAUAGCGAAGGCAGCUUGCUACACAAUAAUUGACGCUGAGGCACGAAAGCGUGGGGAUCAAACAGGAUUAGAUACCCUGGUAGUCCACGCCCUAAACGAUGGAUACUCGACAUACGCGAUACACAGUGUGUGUCUGAGCGAAAGCAUUAAGUAUCCCACCUGGGAAGUACGACCGCAAGGUUGAAACUCAAAGGAAUUGGCGGGGGUCCGCACAAGCGGUGGAGCAUGUGGUUUAAUUCGAUGAUACGCGAGGAACCUUACCUGGGCUAGAAUGCAGAUUGACCGUGGGUGAAAGCUCAUUUUGUAGCAAUACACAGUCUGUAAGGUGCUGCAUGGCUGUCGUCAGCUCGUGCCGUGAGGUGUUGGGUUAAGUCCCGCAACGAGCGCAACCCCCAUCAUUAGUUGCCAUCAGGUAAAGCUGGGAACUCUAAUGAAACUGCCGUCGUAAGACGCGAGGAAGGAGGGGAUGAUGUCAAGUCAUCAUGGCCUUUAUGCCCAGGGCUACACACGUGCUACAAUGGAAGGGACAAAGAGCUGCCACUUGGCGACAAGGCGCUAAUCUCAAAAACCCUUUCUCAGUUCAGAUCGCAGUCUGCAACUCGACUGCGUGAAGCUGGAAUCGCUAGUAAUCGUAUAUCAGCAAUGAUACGGUGAAUACGUUCCCGGACCUUGCACACACCGCCCGUCAAGCCAUGGAAGCUGGGUGUACCUAAAGUCGGUAACCGCAAGGAGCCGCCUAGGUAAUCAUGAUUAA